ACUUGUGAGUGAUUAUAGUUGCUGUCGCCGGUGGAUGCAGGGAUUCAGAGCCAUAUGGCGCCGGCGGCCUUGAGCAUGGGCACGAGCUUGCCGGCGAGGUGCAGCGACAUGAUCGUGUCGGUGGAGCCGACGAGCUUGCUGCCGACGAAGACGGCGGGGACGGGCGGCGCACGGCCGAGGCGGCGGGCGAGCUCCCGCUCCAUGUCGCGGCCGCGGGGGUCCUUGUCGAGCUCGUGCACCGCCGCGCACACGCCGAGCUCGGAGAAGAGGCUCAACACCGUGUGGCACAUCGGGCACUGGCUUCGCGUGAAGAUCACCACCGCCUUCUCCGUCGACAGCCUCGACACCCUCUCCGCCAUUGCCGCCGC
rnacentral:lncRNA from 1 species